rnacentral:rRNA from 1 species
UACGUAGGGGGCAAGCGUUGUCCGGAAUUAUUGGGCGUAAAGAGCGCGUAGGCGGUCCGAUAAGUCGGCUGUGAAAGUCAGGGGCUCAACCCUUGAAAGCCGGCCGAUACUGUCGGACUAGAGUCCGGAAGAGGCAAGUGGAAUUCCCGGUGUAGCGGUGAAAUGCGCAGAUAUCGGGAGGAACACCAAUGGCGAAGGCAGCUUGCUGGGACGGUACUGACGCUAAGGCGCGAAAGCGUGGGGAGCGAACAGG